UUUUUUUUAACUCUUAUUUUAGAUACAGGGGAUACAUGUAGAUUUGUUACAUGGGUAUAUUGUGUGAUGCUGAGGAUUGGGAUACGGAUGAUCCCAUCACCCAAGUAGUGAGCAUAAUUUUUCAAACCUUGUCCCCUUUCCUGCCUGCAUCCAAAAUAGAAAUUUGAAAAUAAUUCUCCACACACUGCAGUGGAUGUUGGCAAGGGAACACCAUUGUUUCCUACUUAACCCUUGCUGGAUGUGUUUAAGAGUUCUUACCAGAUUGCUGGCAGCAAAAACACUAAUGUAUUCAUUCAUUUACUUAGAUCAAUACAGUCCGAUUCUUUGCCAAAACCCCUGUGUUACUGCUUGUCCUGUCUCUCGAACAGGGUGUUCUGGUCAAAUCAAGAGGAGAUCAAAUGUCUAGGCCUUCACUUUCAGCAGCUGGAACUGAGUUGAAAAAGAGAGACUGCCCUCUGAAGCGAAAUCACAAAACAAAGGUGAAAGGAGAAGGCCAUCAACAAAAGAAAAAGAGAAGCUGAAUUUAUUAUCUUUUUGUUUUUCUCCCUGAGGCAAUGGAAACAGAUAGCAGAGGCGUGGCUCUCCAGGCGACUUCUGUGCUUGCCUGGUCAGCACAUACAGGGCAUUCUUCCUAGCUUCCAGCCUGCUCUGCAGAGUCCUCCCCUCCUUCCUUCCUCCCAACCUCCCUCCCUUGCUCUCUUCCUUAACUCUUGGCUUCAUUCUGGGUUUUUUUGUUUGUUUGUUCUAAAUUCUGUUUGCUCUUCGUUCUGUUUUUUCGUUUGUCCUAAAAGUCAGGUUUAUUAAAAUAUAACUUACAUAGAGUGAAAUUCACCCUCUUUAGGUGUACAGUUCUAUAGUUUUAUAACCACCCAGAUAUAGAGCAUUUGCAUCAAGACAUAGACCAUUUCCAACUGGGUAUGGUGGCACACACCUGUAGUCCCAGCUACUCGGGAGCCUGAGGUGGGAGGAUGGCUUGAGCCCAGGAGUUUGAGGCCGCAGUAAGCUACGAUCAUGCCACUGCACUCCAGCCUGGGCAACACAGUGAGGCCUCAUCUCUCAAAAAAAAAAAAAUUUAUAAUAAAAAUAAAAUAUAACAAAUUAAACUUAGCUACAAAUAGUUUCGAAACUGCUCUCUGGGAAACAGUUCUCC
rnacentral:lncRNA from 10 species